UACGAAGGGGGCUAGCGUUGUUCGGAAUCACUGGGCGUAAAGCGCACGUAGGCGGAUCCUUAAGUCAGGGGUGAAAUCCCGAGGCUCAACCUCGGAACUGCCUUUGAUACUGGGGAUCUUGAGUCCGGGAGAGGUGAGUGGAAUUGCGAGUGUAGAGGUGAAAUUCGUAGAUAUUGGGAAGAACACCGGUGGCGAAGGCGGCGACCUGGUCCGAUACUGACGGCUGAGGCGCGAAAGCGUGGGGAGCAAACAGG
rnacentral:rRNA from 1 species